UCUCUCGAAGUGCGAGAAAUUCCCGCAGUUUGUGCAAACGUUCGUGGAUGGAAGUUGUGUUUGUGAGUGAGGUAAUGGAGCUGUAGGAAGAUCGCAGAAUUUCAGCGUCCAACCCGCACCGGAUCAUGAAAAUGGUGUUGUCACAACGGCAGCGGGAGGAGUUAAAUAAAGCGAUUGCAGACUAUCUGAGCAAUAAUGGAUACAUGGAUGCACUGGAAGCUUUCAAAAAGGAAGCAGACAUGCCAGGAGAAGUGGAGAGGAAGUAUGGGGGUCUGCUUGAGAAGAAGUGGACCUCUGUUAUCAGAUUACAGAAAAAGGUGAUGGAACUUGAAUCUAAAUUGUCUGAAGCAGAGAAGGAAUUUAUUGAAGGUGCUCCUACACGAGGUAAACGAUCCCCUACUGAAUGGAUACCAAGGCCACCGGAGAAAUACUGCCUCUCAGGUCAUCGUGCGCCUGUUACGAAGGUUAUAUUCCACCCAGUUUUCAGUGUCAUGGUGUCAGCAAGCGAAGACGCCACUUUAAAAGUGUGGGAUUUUGAGACUGGAGAAUAUGAGAAAUCACUCAAGGGUCACACAGACUCUGUCCAAGAUAUUUCUUUUGAUCAGACUGGUAAAUUACUAGUGUCCUGCAGUGCAGACAUGACUAUAAAACUGUGGGACUUCCAGAAUUAUGAGUGUAUCAAAACUAUGCAUGGUCAUGACCACAAUGUGUCAAGUGUAACUUUCAUGCCCGGUGGAGAUUUUGUCGUCUCUUCUUCAAGGGACAAGACUAUCAAGAUGUGGGAAGUAGCAACAGGUUACUGUGUAAAAACUUUCACGGGACAUCGUGAAUGGGUGCGUAUGGUCCGUGUUAGUCCAGAUGGAUCUUUAAUUGCAUCGUGUUCCAAUGAUCAGACUGUUCGUGUGUGGGCCACAGCUAGCAAGGAAUGCAAGGUGGAGCUACGUGAUCAUGAUCAUGUGGUAGAGUGCAUUGCCUGGGCUCCUGACAAUGCCAGUUCUGCCAUUAAUGAGGCUGCUGGAGCAGAUAAUAAAAAAGGAGCUCAUGCUGGUCCCUUUCUUGCCUCUGGCUCAAGAGAUAAAACCAUAAAGGUUUGGGAUGUGGGUACUGGGAUGUGCCUAUUCACAUUAGUGGGCCAUGACAAUUGGGUGCGUGGUGUGGUAUUCCAUCCUGGUGGUAAAUUUAUUGUGAGUGCCAGUGAUGAUAAAAGUCUGCGGGUAUGGGACACGCGCAACAAACGCUGCAUGAAGACACUUGAAGCUCAUCAACAUUUUUGUACUUCACUUGAUUUCCACAAGACUCAUCCGUAUGUAAUUUCCGGCAGCGUAGAUCAAACUGUGAAGGUGUGGGAAUGUCGCUAACCACACUCAUCUGGUCAACACAUGAAUACAGUGGACACGGAGCUUAGCAUUGUAUCUGUUAUAUAAUUAUUAUAUAGUGUUUCUGUAUCCUAAUUUAUAUACAAACAUAAUGUUAUGAACUUUAAUUUGCUUUGGUAUAAAAAGGAAUGUCCUCCCCCUUUUGUGUUGCGCAUUGCCAUGUCAGACGCUUUGCACCAACAAGUCAGACAGGGAAGGGAGGAAAGCAUAAGUGUCCAUUGAAUCCGUCAAGAGUAUGUACCAAGAACUGCUUGUAAGAGAAAGGGCACUGAAAAAGGGGUAUGCAAAUCAGAUUGACAGUGUGAACAUUUGAAAACCCUCCUGCACAUAAUGAUCAUAAAAGUAUAAGAUGUAGAAAGUUUGUGACAUACGCAGGAUGGUAAGAAUAACAUUGUCAAAAUGUUUUACUUUCGUUUUUAGAUACUUCAGUGGACUAGUAGUAUUAAAAUUGAUGCCUAAUAUCGGAACCUUAACUUACACUUGGCUAUCCUGUCUUGAUUCUGUACUGUUACUAAAUUUCAUGUUGCCUUUUGUGUUGGUUAUGUUGCAUAAGGUGUAUUCACUGAUGUGAAUUUUUUUUAUAAAUAUAUUGUUUUAAGAAAGAAAGUGUGGCAAUUACAGUACAGCUUAAGUGUUCUUGUUACAUGCUGUUUAAUUGUUUAGACUAAAUUCUAAACAUUCUGUUUUUCUACUUCCCACUUUGAUUUUUGGUGGAAUGUUGAACUGUUUACAUCAGCAUGUUUUUUUGUCAGAAAAGGUAAGAAAAUGCAUCGUAUACCCAUUAUAAUUUAGGAAAACAAUUGAGAAAUUUGAGCCUCUGCAUAAAGAUGUAAAGCACUUAUUAAAUCCAUACAGGGUGUUAAAUUGAAGAGCGAAGGUGGUUAGAAUGCUCCAAGGUGAAGCCUUUAUAGGUAACAAUUACUUAGGAUCUCCUUUGUGCCACCUGUAUAUGUAUGCUGGUUCCGAUUUUUUUAUAACUCUUUCAGUUUCCUGCAGAAACUGUUAAGAACAGAAGGCUUGUGUGUUGCUAGUUUCUGCUGGUCUGCACUGUAGUGUUUUUCCAAUUUUGAUGUAAACACUUGGCAGGCAGUGGAAGGAACAGAUAGUUGGGAUGCAAGGACGUGUAUCAUAACAAGACUCCCUGUCCAGAUAUUGUGUGUUGUAGUUCCAGUUAACAUGUACAAACAAAAGGUAACAGGUACUGUAGCAUAGUAAUUUUUUCUCUUUCUUUGCUAUUUUUGUCACUCUAGUCGGUAGCCCUGUAAUUACUGUAGUUUCCUCUUAGAUUUUCAUCUUUAUUUGUGACAUAACACAAGUUGAAUACUACACAGCUACAUUAGUUUUUGUCCUACUUUCCUAGUAUUUAUAUAUUUGUAUUUGGAAUUAAUAGUGGGUACAUACUUCGUACUAAUGCUGUGUACACAAAAAAAUAAAAUUCUUGCCCUCAAGCAACCUGUAAAUUCAGACAAAAUUUCACCAAGUGUUUGGUGUAUUGAUAAAAAAACUGGUUCUGUGAAAAAUUAUUGCAGUUAAUAUUUGUCCCAAGUGUGGUGCCAGUUUUAAUUAGAAUGGCCUGUAAAAGAAUUAAUGGGAACACAGCAGCAUGUAACAACAGCAAGGCCUUCAAUUGAUUCACUCUUUGUUAACUUUAAUUCUUCAUAUUAUAUAUCUAUCCAGAUACUUUUAUUUCUAAAUAUAAAACAAAUUGUACAUCUGACAGUUUUCGUUAUUGUAGCAAAGCUGAUAGACAUACUUAAAAACAGUUCAUAUAUAUAUAUAGGAAUAUAUGAUGUUUCAAUAAAGUAUUCCCUAGAGUGCUUGAUACUUCUGAUUUAAUAUGUUAAUCAAUUGAGCAUAGAACCUCAUGCUGUUAAUGUGCUUGCAAAGUUGCCAUCACACUAGCUUCUACAGUAUAGUAUAUGUACAAAAAAAGUAUCACACUUUUAAUUGCCUGAAAUCCUCAUCAUGAUUCAUAAUAAACAGGAGAGAUGGUAUAUUUUAGAAUUGUAAUCCUCCAAGACGUUUCAAACUUGUGUUCAUUAUGUUCAAUGUGUAUAUUUCAAUACAAACAUGUGCAUGGUAUGAUGCUAACCACAAUAUUAAUUGAAUUUUAACUCUGAACUGUUUUCUAUUUAUUAAAACUAGUGAUAUUUUAUACUGUGCCAGAAGUAAUUUGAUCUACAAAUGGAAGUUAUAAUUGCAUGUCAACCAGCUGUUUAUCAGAAUAAUGCCUCUUUGUUGGUAAAAUGUAUUAACCCUUUUGUGGCAAGUUUACUUUUAUCUAAUAUUUGUUUCAGUAUAAUGCAACAUGGGUUCAAUUUUUCCAUGAAAAUCUUAUUUCAAUUUUAAAAUGGGAAGCAUGUUUCCUGUGACAGAAAGAACUUGUGAAUGCAAUUUUCACUCCACAGGAGUCAAAUCCAGGGAAAUAUGUGUGGCAAAUAAAUUUCACAAUCUCGAGCACUAUAUUACAAAAUGCACACUUUAUUGUCAUUUAGAUGAUGGUUUUCAAGUUUAUUAAAACAAGUAUUCUAUAAAAUGAAAAUUAGAUCUUCCAUUUAGGUACAGCAUAAAGCAUUUUUUAAAGACCACAGCAACAGUUUUACACUUAUUGGCUCAGAAACCUAAAAUCAUUGGAAAAAUCCCAUUCAUCCAGAACCUGUAUUUCCUUCUUAUAGAGCAACUACAUACAUAGCAUGGAAUUCAGUAGCUCUUACUUCUGUACUUGCACUAGUGUUAAAAAUGCCAGCUAACAUAAUCAGUUAAUCAAAUGUAAUGUGUUGCAAAAUAAAUUCAUAAUUACAUUCAAGGGGUAUAAUUUGGAAUAGCAUAUGAAAUAUAAGGUUCUCACGGCAGUUAAGAUGUCAUUCUGAGUUUAAAUACCAUGUGGUCUUAUGUAAGUAGAUACCAACAAAGGAAUAUACUGCCUCUAUGUUCAGGACCUAAGUCCAUGCUGCAUUACAACCCAGAAUACCAACAUGGAAUAACAAAUAUUUAUAUCAUCCAUAUAUUUCUAUUGCCGGAUUUAGACAUUGCUGAGUGUUUCUCCCUACCUAUUUUUCUAGUUGUAAUUUUAUAGGAAUGAAUGUUAUUGGUCAGUACUGUGGCUGAGUUUGCCUCAUUAUCUUGCUGUAAUAAAAGUGAUGCACACGACUGUGUACAACCUGACAUCAAGUGUUUCAAGUACAAGUUAUAACUUCUAAGUAAUUUUUAUCAUAGCUUUAAAUAUAUUAGAAUAGGAGAGAUGAGAAUACAGUCAUUGCCAGGGCAAGGAUUCGUAAAUGCUUCAGAUGGAAAUAUCUUAAAUAGUAUUUAAUUCUCAUGAGUGGCCAUUUUUUUAUGGAUGAUUAAGUCUGCCAACCUCCUACCACUUCUGAAUAUGAUACAAGGGAGGCAGUGAAAAAGUACAUUAUAUUGUAUUUUCCAUUAUAUAUAUAUCCUACGCUUUUUCAAUAUAUUAAGAAGAAGUACUUCAAUUUCUGAACCAGUGAACAGUUGCCUCUCCUGAGAUUGACUUUUACGGUACAUGGCACAAUGUUCUUAGGUAAGGAAUACAUCACCAGCGCAUGCGCAGAACCCACUUUCACUUUGCCUCACAAGCAACGGAUGAGUAGGACGCUUGUACAGUUAGGGUGGUUGUCUGUUAUUAUUAUCCAGGUUAGAUUGCUUUAUUGUAGAUUUGUUAUAAUAUUUUCCUGUUAUAUGUAUAGAGGUCAUUUUUAAAAAUGAAUGUGAAUGGAGCUUUACUUGAACAAAAGACACAAUCUGAGAACUCUUACCGUCCAGAGAAGAGAAUUCGAGAAUCAGACAAUGCACAAAGCAUCUUGAAGAAAUUCCGAAGAGAUGAUUACAGUGAUGAAUUUAGUUUUAGUGGAUGCACCUCAAAUGUGAGUUUUCUGUAAGUGGUGUGUGUGUGCACUCAUGCAUGCACAUGUGUGAAUAUAUUUAUAUGAGUUGCAGUUCAGUAGCAGACACCAUGUCCCUGUCUGGAGGAGAACGUUCAUACUCCACAGUUUCUUUCAUCAUGGCCCUUUGGGAUGCUAUUGAAACACCUUUCUAUUUCUUGGAUGAAUUUGAUGUCUUUAUGGAUAAAGUGAAUCGUCGAGUGAUCAUGGAUUUACUUUUGGCGCAUUCCUGACAGCAAACAAACUCUCAGUUUGUCUUCCUCACCCCACAAGACGUAUCCAUUCAGUCUGAUCAGGAUAUUACAAUACACAGGUUGCAAGAUCCAUGCAGGGGUAAUAAUACACAGUGAAGAACAAGGAGCUUGUAUCUUACUUGAAUACAUAUUUGUACUACAUAAAUUGUUAUAAUUUCUAGAUCAGAGGUGUGCAGCCAUUUUAGAACAUGGGCCACCUGCAGAAUACGAAGCUCGUAGGACAGUUGGAAAUUAAGGAGAGUUUUAAGAUACUUAAUUUUAUAUUGCUUGUGGUUUAUCUUGUUACGUGUGUGCACAUUGAUGUAAAAGGAGGCAUCUCUGAAUUAGUUUAUAAAUAUUAAUUCAUAAGUUG